rnacentral:rRNA from 1 species
CAGUCGCCGCGGGAAUACGUAGGGUGCGAGCGUUAAUCGGAAUUACUGGGCGUAAAGCGUGCGCAGGCGGUUUUGUAAGACAGGCGUGAGAUCCCCGGGCUCAACCUGGGAAUGGCGCUUGUGACUGCAAAGCUAGAGUGCGGCAGAGGGGGAUGGAAUUCCGCGUGUAGCAGCGAAAUGCGUAGAUAUGCGGAGGAACACCGAUGGCGAAGGCAAUCCCCUGGGCCUGCACUGACGCUCAUGCACGAAAGCGUGGGGAGCAAACAGGAUUAGAUACCCCCGUAGUCCCUGUCUCUUAUAC